UCGAUCAAAACAGGGAGAAAAGGGGGUUCAACCCUAGUUCUUGAAACCAGCCAAAUCAAAGAGAAUUUCAUGGAAAUCGAACUGCAUGGGCUAAGAAUUUCGACCAUCUAAACCUAUCUAUUGAAGUGGCGUGAAGGAAGAAGGUUCCAAUACUAGGAAAUCAGAAGGUUCACAAGAUCGAGGUAAAUCCUCACUUUAGGCGACUUGGCAAUUUGGAGCGAGCACAUGCACAUGUUAUGACCAUCAAGCGCUUCCGUUAUUUCGUAUUAAUGUUUUGGGUCAAAAUGCUUGUUUUGUAUAACCUUGUUAGUCGUUGCACUUUUUAACACUUGAUGUUAUGGUUUUUAGUCGUGUCUAGUCGAACGGGUCGUAGACUUAUUUGUUUUGAUGAUGGUUAAAAUAGGGAUACGCUCGUCUUAUGGACGGGUCAUGCCCAAAUUUUGUUAAA